rnacentral:lncRNA from 1 species
UUCAAUUCUAACAAAGCAAAUUAUUUUAAACACGUUAAUCAUUAGUUUUAGAAGUUUUAAAAUAAACUAUAGGAUAACAAAUCUAAUUAACAAAUUGUUAUAUGAAAAAACUCAAGAUCAACACAAAGUACAAAUCUCAAACAAAUGACCAUAGCAUCAAGAUCUCAUAGAUUUUGGGCUCAGAUCCACCAUGUACCCAUCUGUACAAAGGUUGAAUCUCAC